GGUAAUACGGAGGGUGCAAGCGUUAAUCGGAAUUACUGGGCGUAAAGCGCGCGUAGGCGGGUUGUUAAGUUAGAGGUGAAAUCCCGGGGCUCAACCCCGGAACUGCCUUUAAUACUGGCAACCUAGAGUUCGAGAGAGGUGAGUGGAAUUCCGAGUGUAGAGGUGAAAUUCGUAGAUAUUCGGAGGAACACCAGUGGCGAAGGCGGCUCACUGGCUCGAUACUGACGCUGAGGUGCGAAAGUGUGGGGAGCAAACAGGAUUAGAUACCCUGGUAGU
rnacentral:rRNA from 1 species